AUUGGUUAUAUGUUAAUUGAUUGAUUGAUUGAUUGAUUGAUUGAUUGAUUGAUUGAUUGAUUGAUUGAUUGAUUGAUUGAUUGAUUGAUUGAUUGAUUGAUUGAUUGGAUGUUGGUUGAUUUGAUUUUUGAUUUGAUUGGACGUUGGUUGGGUAAUUCAUUUAAGUGGUUGGAUGUUGGUUAAUUUGAUUGAUCGAUCGAUUGAUUGAUUGGAUGUUGGUAGAUAGAUAGAUAGAUAGAUAGAUAGAUAGAUAGAUAGAUAGAUAGAUAGAUAGAUAGAUAGAUAGAUAGAUAGAUAGAUAGAUAGGAUAUUUGAGUUUUGGUUUGAUUGGACGUUGGUUUUGUUGAUUGAUUUCAAUGGAUGUUGGUUGAAUAAUUGAUUGAUUGACUGAUUUUAUUGGUUGGAUGUUGAUUGAUUGAUUGACUGAUUUUAUUGGUUGGAUGUUGGUUGAUUAAAUUUUGGAUUUAAUUAGUAGCUUGAUUGAUUUGAUUAGUUUGAUGUUUGCUGGAUUGAUUGAUUGAUUGAUUGAUUGAUUGAUUGAUUGAUUGAUUGAUUGAUUGAUUGAUUGAUUGAUUGAUUGAUUGAUUUCAUUUGUUGGAUGUUGGUUGAUUAGAUUUUGGAUUUGAUUGGAUGUUGGUUGAUUAAUUAAUCGGUUAUUUAUUACUAUAAAGCAUUGGUCAUCUAUAUUUAUAGUCUGUGUGAACAGAGCCUGUGUUUGCUGAGAGCAGCGGUGCUUUAAUGCGUCUGUUGUAUUUCUUUCUCAGGUCAGUCUAUUCCCCUCCGCAAUUUGCUGAAGACCAACGAGACGUUUUCAGAAUAUCUGACGAACAGCCUUUCGGUGCCAAACACAACAGUGGCGAGUCUGAUGAGGGUGAAGGUUCGGCUCGGACAGUUGCCUUCACUCUCUGCUGAUGGAGAUCUGCGCUCUGUGCUCUGCGGUCCAUCAGUCGAUCGCAUCCUGGAGUUCAGCUCAGCCAAUCAGAAAGCAGAAUUUCAGAACAUCACAUGCUCCCUGACAGCCAAUCAGCUUCUUCAAGCCAGACGAGUGUUUGUGCAGAAUCUGGACAACCUCAAACUCAUGAACGCAGUGAGUGAAACUCUUCUGUUUCUAUUAGACACACGUAAACAAGUCAAAACUGAUAGUUUGGGGUUAAAACUAACACACACAAACACACAUACACAUAUAUAUUAACCCUUAUACUCACUGAGACUCACACACAUACACACACACACACUCAGAGACACACACAAACACACACAUACCCCAUUUGCAGCGUAAUCCCCUGCACAGAUAAAUACUUCAACACACACACACACACAGAUCUGAACAGUGCUUUACCUCUGCAGUAAUGGCUAUUGAGUGUGUGUGAAGGUCAGAGCGACAGACACAGAGAUAAGAGGCCAGUGAAUGGGAGUUUAUUAAGCUUGUUUUAACUGCCUGACAUCCCAGAAUAAACUCUGCAAAUCUAAUGAUCUUUAUAGAUUCAGCCCUACUUCGUUUCAGUUCAGUAAUACCGUCUUAAUCUUUGGCUCCGUGAGGGAGAACCGAUAUAAUACGCAAUUAAGCUCAAGAAAAAAAGAAGGCUCAUUGGAAAUUC
rnacentral:lncRNA from 1 species